GAUGAACGCUGGCGGCGUGCCUAAUACAUGCAAGUCGAGCGAAUGGAUUAAGAGCUUGCUCUUAUGAAGUUAGCGGCGGACGGGUGAGUAACACGUGGGUAACCUGCCCAUAAGACUGGGAUAACUCCGGGAAACCGGGGCUAAUACCGGAUAACAUUUUGAACCGCAUGGUUCGAAAUUGAAAGGCGGCUUCGGCUGUCACUUAUGGAUGGACCCGCGUCGCAUUAGCUAGUUGGUGAGGUAACGGCUCACCAAGGCAACGAUGCGUAGCCGGCCUGAGAGGGUGAUCGGCCACACUGGGACUGAGACACGGCCCAGACUCCUACGGGAGGCAGCAGUAGGGAAUCUUCCGCAAUGGACGAAAGUCUGACGGAGCAACGCCGCGUGAGUGAUGAAGGCUUUCGGGUCGUAAAACUCUGUUGUUAGGGAAGAACAAGUGCUAGUUGAAUAAGCUGACACCUUGACGGCACCUAACCAGAAAGCCACGGCUAACUACGUGCCAGCCGCCGCGGUAA
rnacentral:rRNA from 1 species